GCUGUUGGCGCAAGCGCCGGCAUUUCCCCCUUCCUCUCGUUUCGGCUAUCGCGCCGGCCCUCAGAAAGGAGUUGCGUUACUACGGCGCCUUCCUUGCAGCCUUAUUCGAAGAUUCCCCCUCCCCAUUUCCAUUCUCGAGUUGUUGUCACCCUCUUGGUACAACAACUCGAUCGCUCAGGUGCCAUUAACGAGGCGGACCGCGCCAAGGGGGGAAAAAAAACCCGCGUCCGGAUUUUCACGCUCCCUCCAAGAGUUCGCUCCUCCUUCGCGCAGCCUUUGGCGCCAAGAGUGCUCCGGAAAGCGGACAGCGGCAGUACGAGCAGAUUCAGGCGGGUUGCAAAUCUUGCGCGCGAUUCUCUGCAGCCUGCAGCAUGUGAACGGAGUUUCCCGACCAUCCACCUCAAGCUAUGUAUUCCGGGAACAGCAGCCGCGGCAGCAGCCUGGAGCCCACGCCGGGGGAACAGGACUUGGAGCGGCGGCGACAGCAGCAGCAGCAGCAGGCGGCGGGGGACUCGGGGACGCCGUUCAGCGCCAGCACCUACCACCUGCUAGCCCUGCUUAUCGCCGCUAUCGGCUUCGUGGGCUUGUGCAACAACUUGCUGGUCCUGGUGCUUUACACCAAGUUCAAGCGGCUCCGCACGCCCACCAACCUCUUCCUGGUGAACAUCAGCCUCAGCGACCUGCUGGUGUCGUUUUUCGGCGUCAGCUUCACUUUCCUCUCCUGCCUCAGGAAUCGUUGGGCCUGGGACGAGGCGGGCUGCAUGUGGGACGGCUUCAGCAACAGCCUCUUCGGAAUUGUUUCGCUUAUGACUCUCACUGUCUUGGCCUAUGAGCGGUACAUUAGAGUAGUGCAUGCAAGAGUGAUUGAUUUCUCGUGGUCUUGGAGGGCAAUCACAUAUAUCUGGCUUUAUUCCUUAGCCUGGACAGGAGCACCUCUUCUUGGCUGGAACCACUACACCCUAGAACUUCAUGGAUUAGGUUGUUCAGUGGACUGGAGUUCAAGAGAACCCAGUGAUACUUCCUUUGUCCUCUUUUUCUUUUUUGGUUGUCUAGUGGUACCACUUGGAAUCGUAGUCUACUGCUAUGGGCAUAUUCUUCACGCAGUACGAAUGUUUCAUUGUGUGGAAGACUUGCAAACUGUCCAUGUGAUCAAAAUCUUAAGAUAUGAGAAGAAAGUAGCUAAAAUGUGUUUUUUAAUGAUAACCACGUUUCUUAUUUGCUGGAUGCCAUAUGCUGUGGUUUCACUUUUAAUAGCCUAUGGUUACAGUCACCUUGUAACUCCAACAGUGGCUAUUAUCCCAUCUUUCUUUGCCAAAUCAAACACUGCCUACAACCCUGUUAUCUUUAUUUUCAUGAAUAGAAAGUUUCGACAGUGCCUUAUGCAGCUUCUCUGUGUUCACCUUUUGAGGUUUCAGAGGAUUUUGAAAGAAAAGCCAGCGAUCAGGAAUGAAAAGCCAGUAAGACCCAUUGUUGUGUCACAGAAGGCGAGGGACAGGCCCAAGAAGAAAGUGACAUUCAGUUCUUCCUCAGUCAUUUUCAUUAUCACCAAUGAUGAAACCCAAGAGAUAGAUGACAGUUCCAAAGACACAGGCACAAAAGCAAACAUGAUCCAAGUGAAGCCUUUAUAGCAGAUUGCCCAGAAAUUGUUCUAACUUGGCAUCUAACAAAACUUUGAGUGGCACAAUUUGCAAGACAGUAGUAUCUUAUAUGAAAUACUUUUUUCUGUGUGCAUUCCUAUAAUAAUUUGCCAAGGAGGGGAGCCGUACAAACCUUAAUGCAGUAUUCUUCAGCAUAAUUGUAAUGAAUUGUACUAUUGGUGACUCAAAGCUCUGUUGUAAACGCCUGAGAUUGUGACAUACGCCUGAAAGGUGGAUUUUUAAACCUAUUUUUGCCUUUAUUUCAAUUAACCUUCACCUCCCUGUAAGAAAUAUACCAUUGUGACUUUGGUAGGCUGGCUUAUGACUCGCGUAGAUGCAGGAACAAAGUAGAGGAAACCGAUUGCCAUGGAAAAUUGCCUCAUGGUACACAUGUUUUUUCACUGUUAAAAACUCAUCCAUCAGCAUGAGGUUUCCAGAUGUUGGGUGCUAUAUAGGGACCACAGAGCUGGGCAGUACUUUCCUCAGUAUCUACAAUUUGAAAAAGAGAGAAGCUAUUCUUCCAGUGAACCUGGAUUAUCAACACAAUUGUGCCUGUAGACAUUUCUUUGGUUCCUGCCAGGCUCCCUACUUUUAAAAAAAAAGGAAACUAGCAUCCUGCAAAACAAAAUGUCAACUGCUGCCACAUCAUCUUUAUUUGUCAGAAUGGAUCUGGGCCCUAAGCGGACCCAAUAAACUCUCUUAGGGGAAAUAAACAUGAUGGUUGCAACCACUGGUUGUAACCAGUGGCUGCAACCAUCAUGGCAGGACAAGAAACAAUGGAUGGAAACUAACCAAGGAGAGAAGCAACCUACAACUAAGGAGAAAAUUCCUAACAGAACAAUUAACCAGUGGAACAAACUGCCUUCGGAAAUUGUGGGUGCCCCAACACUGGAGGUUUUAAGAGACUGAACAGCCAGAAAGAGUAUAAGUCUCCUGCAAGAGCAGAGAGUUGAAACAGAUCAUCUCCAAGGUUCCUUCCAACUCUAUUCUUGUUACACUGCUUUGUUUGGAAAUAUACCUGCCAGGCCAGAAAAAAGACAAAGGUAAGCAGGGGUGAUAGAGAGCAUUCUAAGUGGACAAUGUUGCACGGAGUGCAGGAACUGUUCUACUCAACUGAUAGAUUAUAAAUAGGAAAUAGGAAAACCUGCCCAGCCUUAGCAGGCAAGUUUCAAGAGUACCAACAUGCUCUCAAAAGAUGAAGGCUAUGGCUGUUUGUUAGAAAUUCAAGUGGACAUUACAUUCUAGUUUCUUUUUAUGACUUUGGAAUGGAAGACAGCACACAAAAGAACAAAAGCCAUCCAGCCCAUCCUUCUGUCCUAGCAUAAGAACCCUUGGAGGCCAGGAUGCACAUUUGUACUUGAAUAUUGUAAUCUUCACAAGAAAUGCAUCAGAUGAUAUAGAAAAAUACUCAUACCGAAGCCAAAGUAAAACCUAACUAACAACUUAUAAAUUAAUUCAUGCUACCUAAUUCUGUGCAUGUUUAUUUAAAAGAAUGAAACCCACUGAAUUCUGAAUACUGCGGGCGUAUUCUCAAGAAAGAAUGCCUAGGAACACUGACUCUGGAUUUUAUUUUAUAUUGUCAGUGCUAGCAAAAACCUUGGUGCAAACAUUCUCCCACAUUUCCAUCUUCAGAUUGUAGCUAAAGGUAGCAUUUUGGACUUUAUUCAGUUCCCUGGUUCUGUUUGCAAUUUAGACAGGGCCUUGGUGGCACAGUGGUUAAAAUGCAAUAUUGCAGGCAAACUGCCCACAGCCUGGAGUUCGAUCCUGAUUGGCUCAAGCCUUUCUUCCAUCCUAGGUUGGUAAAAUGAGGAUCUGGAUUGUUGGGGGCAAUAUGCAAAACAUUGUAAAUUACCCAGAGAGUGAUGUAAAGCACUAUGGGGUGCUAUAAAAACCUAAAUGCUAUUACUAUUGCUAAUGUUAUCUAGCUUGAUGUUCUGGAGACGUUUGCAAAGGCUGUUUUAUUACAUCUAGGUCCUGUCAAAACAUAAUCAACAUAACUAAAAGCUAAUAAGCUCAUGACACUCCUCUCCUUAUUUUAGUUGUAUCUUGUUUCAGUACCCUCUAAAGUUACUUUAUUCUUGGGUUACCCACACACCCCAAGCAGAACUUUUAGAAUUAGUCAGUUGGGAAAAUUUGGUCAGUCUAUCUAUCACUGGGAAAUUGUUGUCAUGCAUGUUGUCUUCAGUAAGCUUUUAUUAAAAAUGGUCCAUUUGA